rnacentral:rRNA from 1 species
GACGAACGCUGGCGGCGUGCUUAACACAUGCAAGUCGAACGGAGUGGCGAACGGGUGAGUAACACGUGGGUGACCUGCCCUGCACUUCGGGAUAAGCCUGGGAAACUGGGUCUAAUACCGGAUAGUGUGGGAUAGGCCCGCGGCCUAUCAGCUUGGUGGUGGGGUAAUGGACUACCACAGCGGCGACGGGUAGCCGGCCUGAGAGGGUGGACGGCCACAUAGGGACUGAGACACGGCCCAGACUCCUACGUGAGGCAGCAGUGGGGAAUAUUGCACCACGGGCGGAAGUCUGAUGCAGCGACGCCGCGUGGGCGAGGACGGCCUUCGGGUUGUAAACUCCUUUCACCAUCGACGCGGUAGAUGGAUAAGAAGCACCGGCUAACUACGUGCCAGCAGCCGCGGUAAUAC